UACGUAGGGUGCGAGCGUUGUCCGGAAUCAUUGGGCGUAAAGCGCGUGUAGGCGGCUUCGUAAGUCCGUUGUGAAAGUCCAGGGCUCAACCCUGGAAUGCCGAUGGAUACUGCGGAGCUAGAGUCCGGAAGAGGCGAGUGGAAUUCCUGGUGUAGCGGUGAAAUGCGCAGAUAUCAGGAGGAACACCAAUGGCGAAGGCAGCUCGCUGGGACGGUACUGACGCUGAGGAGCGAAAGCGUGGGGAGCAAACAGG
rnacentral:rRNA from 1 species